rnacentral:rRNA from 1 species
UACAGGGGGGUGCAAACGUUGCUCGGAAUUAUUGGGCGUAAAGAGCUCGUAGGCGGUUUGUCGCGUCUGCUGUGAAAACUCGGGGCUUAACUCCGGGCCUGCAGUGGGUACGGGCAGACUAGAGUGCGGUAGGGGAGACUGGAAUUCCUGGUGUAGCGGUGAAAUGCGCAGAUAUCAGGAGGAACACCGGUGGCGAAGGCGGAUCUCUGGGCCUUACCUGACGCUCAGGCGCGAAAGCUAGGGGAGCGAACUGG